CCUACGGGAGGCAGCAGUGGGGAAUUUUGGACAAUGGGCGAAAGCCUGAUCCAGCAAUGCCGCGUGAGUGAAGAAGGCCUUCGGGUUGUAAAGCUCUUUUGUCAGGGAAGAAACGGUGAGAGCUAAUAUCUUUUGCUAAUGACGGUACCUGAAGAAUAAGCACCGGCUAACUACGUGCCAGCAGCCGCGGUAAUACGUAGGGUGCAAGCGUUAAUCGGAAUUACUGGGCGUAAAGCGUGCGCAGGCGGUUUUGUAAGUCUGAUGUGAAAUCCCCGGGCUCAACCUGGGAAUUGCAUUGGAGACUGCAAGGCUAGAAUCUGGCAGAGGGGGGUAGAAUUCCACGUGUAGCAGUGAAAUGCGUAGAUAUGUGGAGGAACACCGAUGGCGAAGGCAGCCCCCUGGGUCAAGAUUGACGCUCAUGCACGAAAGCGUGGGGAGCAAACAGGAUUAGAUACCCUGGUAGUCCACGCCCUAAACGAUGUCUACUAGUUGUCGGGUCUUAAUUGACUUGGUAACGCAGCUAACGCGUGAAGUAGACCGCCUGGGGAGUACGGUCGCAAGAUUAAAACUCAAAAGUAGUAGUUAGGACGUCGAGACGUUAGCGACGGAGGACCACGACGGGAGGGUUAGG
rnacentral:rRNA from 1 species